CCUCGCUGCAACAACGGCCUUGCAGCUGGCCAAAACAUUGAAGAAAUGUCCCAGGAUGCCAUCGGUUAUGUUGUGGGCUUCGAGGGGUGAAACCGAAACCUCAGCGCUCCCUCCCAUCCUAAGCAGCCGUUAAUUUUGCUCCCAGGAAGGGGACUCAUAACGCCCGAUAUAAAUUGGAUUUUAGGAUGUCUGCUUCUUUCGGUCCCUACCUAGGAGUUCUCUCUUCAGCCGAUCCAAAUCUCCGUGGGAUUCACAAGUAUCAGCAAUACAAUUGCGAUUAUGUUCGCAUUAUUCUAUUGUUCUUGUUUCAUAUAACGAUCAUACAAAAAUGAAUAAAAUAAGGAUGAGAAAUCGAUCGCAGUGAAUUCAGGUCCUUGCGACAAUAAAUACGUAUUACAAAUAUAAUUCAAGUGAAUAGAUAAAUAUGGUGUAAUUAAUACAAUAAAUAUGUUAUUUCUAU